CCUCAAAGCCUGCUUUCCAUAUCUGAAGCUAGAAUGUUCCUGACGCACACAUGCGGGUCUAGGGUGCCUGCCUUAGCGACACACUGUAUUAGUGGUGUGGUCCAAGACACCUGAUUUUAAAAGGAGCCACACCUCCAGAUGCGGACGAUCUCACGGUGAGAAUGUGUUGAUGGGAGCCGAUGGCGGUCUUCAGGCAGAGUUCCCAUGACUCUGAGCUGAGGUUUACACGUGGACCCUGAAUUACUUGAAAUAGAGGCGUCUGGAUUGACAAAGAUGCAACAGCAGUUCCAGGGAGAAAUAGUAAGCAGUCAGUUCCACCAGUGGUGCUGGAGAAAUUGGACAUCAAUAUGGAAUUAAAAAUGAGCCUGGGCCUGGCGAGGUGGCCCACGCCUGCAAUCCCAGCACCUUGGGAGGUGGAGACGGGCAGAU